rnacentral:rRNA from 1 species
CUACGCACUCCUACGGGAGGCAGCAGUGGGGAAUAUUGCACAAUGGGCGCAAGCCUGAUGCAGCCAUGCCGCGUGUAUGAAGAAGGCCUUCGGGUUGUAAAGUACUUUCAGCAGUGAGGAAGGUGGAUAUGUUAAUAGCAUAUUCAUUUGACGUUAGCUGCAGAAGAAGCACCGGCUAACUCCGUGCCAGCAGCCGCGGUAAUACGGAGGGUGCGAGCGUUAAUCGGAAUUACUGGGCGUAAAGCGCAUGCAGGUGGUUUGUUAAGUCAGAUGUGAAAGCCCGGGGCUCAACCUCGGAAUUGCAUUUGAAACUGGCAAACUAGAGUACUGUAGAGGGGGUAGAAUUUCAGGUGUAGCGGUGAAAUGCGUAGAGAUCUGAAGGAAUACCGGUGGCGAAGGCGGCCCCCUGGACAGAUACUGACACUCAGAUGCGAAAGCGUGGGGAGCAAACAGGAUUAGAUACCCUGGUAG